AUGUCUUCCUCCUCCGGCGCCUUCCAACCUAGCCCCAAUGGCCAGGUCACCGAGAAGCUGUCCCGCACGAACUACGUGUUGUGGCGCACGCAGAUCACGCCGCAACUGCAUGGCACCGGUGUCUUCGGCUUCGUCGACGGCACCUCGGCGGAACCAGCCAAGCUCCUCUCCACCAAGGACAAGGACGACAAGGAGACCCUCACGCCCAAUCCUCUCCGCCCUAUCUGGGUCAGGGAGGAUCAGCAGGUGCUCGGCUACCUGUUGGCCAACCUCUCCAAAGAGGUGCUCAUCACGGUGACCACCGUCACCACGGCGCAGGUGCUCUGGACGAUGCUGGCGAGCAUGUACUCGUCCCAGUCACUAAGCCGCGUAAACAACAUCCGCACCUCCCUCAUCAACGCGCAGAAGGGUAACCAGUCCGUCGCAUCCUACUUCGCCACUAUGCGCGGACUGGCUGAUGAGCUGGCGGCGGCCGGCAAGCCGAUUCAAGACGAUGAACUCAUCUCCUACAUCCUCCAU
rnacentral:rRNA from 1 species